UUGUUGGUAAGGUAAAAGCUUACCAAGGCUUCGAUCAGUAGCUGGUCUGAGAGGACGACCAGCCACACUGGGACUGAGACACGGCCCAGACUCCUACGGGAGGCAGCAGUGGGGAAUUUUGGACAAUGGGGGCAACCCUGAUCCAGCCAUGCCGCGUGAGUGAAGAAGGCCUUCGGGUUGUAAAGCUCUUUCAGCCGGAACGAAACGGUUACGGAUAACACCCGUGACUACUGACGGUACCGGAAGAAGAAGCACCGGCUAACUACGUGCCAGCAGCCGCGGUAAUACGUAGGGUGCGAGCGUUAAUCGGAAUUACUGGGCGUAAAGCGUGCGCAGGUGGUUUUGUAAGUCAGAUGUGAAAGCCCCGGGCUCAACCUGGGAACUGCGUUUGAAACUACAAGACUAGAGUGUGGCAGAGGGGGGUGGAAUUCCGCGUGUAGCAGUGAAAUGCGUAGAGAUGUGGAGGAACACCGAUGGCGAAGGCAGCCCCCUGGGUCAACACUGACGCUCAGGCACGAAAGCAUGGGGAGCAAACAGGAUUAGAUACCCUGGUAGUCCAUGCCCUAAACGAUGUCAACUAGUUGUCGGGCCUUUACGGGCUUGGUAACGUAGCUAACGCGUGAAGUUGACCGCCUGGGGAGUACGAUCGCAAGAUUAAAGCUCAAAUGAAUUGACGGGGACCCGCACAAGCGGUGGAUUAUGUGGAUUAAUUCGAUGCAACGCGAAAAACCUUACCUACCCUUGACAUGUAUCGAAGCCCGCAGAAAAGCGGGGGUGCCCGAAAGGGAACGAUAACACAGGUGCUGCAUGGCUGUCGUCAGCUCGUGUCGUGAGAUGUUGGGUUAAGUCCCGCAACGAGCGCAACCCUUGUCAUUAAUUGCCAUCAUUUAGUUGGGCACUUUAAUGAGACUGCCGG
rnacentral:rRNA from 1 species